GCCCCGUGCGGCGUCCGGGGACCGACCGCUACCACGAGGCCGGGACGCUGGACCCUGGUGUAGGAGGGAGAAUGGGCGCGGGGCGGGGGGUGGGAGGUCAUUUUUAGCUUGCAACCUGCCACGCACAUUCUCUGGGGCUGGAGGGGAGGGGGUGUGCAGGGAGGGAGCCUCGAUUUCUCUACGUUCUUUCUCCCAUUCCCAGUCUUUUCCCGCUUCACCACGGGCUCACCUGUUUAUUUUCAUCAACCAGAGUGUGCAGUUUUUUAUGUAGGCAGGAGAGGCUAUUUCUUUUAUUAGAAACAGUAUUGGGGAGGGAGUGCGUUGUUGUAAUUUCUACCGGUCCUGUUCGGUUUUCAAGAAGGGGGAAGGGAGUUGGCGGAGGUCGCCUGCUUCUGUUCGCAGCUGAACCCGCGGCUUCUCCCUGCCUUCCCGGGCCACGGAAUCUUUCCCUUCACUCAAGCUACCCGCGCGCCAGCUGCCACCUUUUUGGAGAAGGACCACACCUGUGCUUAUUCUCGCUUUGGAGGAGAGGUGAGCCGAAAAACCAGAGAAUCUUCUGUUCCCAGAGUUCUUAGCUGAUCCCCCAUCUCAGAUUGACCAGAAAGUGCUGCUUUCACCUGCUCAUUGCACCGAGCGCAUCCAUCCUCGGACCCAGGCAAGUUGUGGUCUACACAUGUGCUGGGAUUUUCUCUUCCCUCUGGACCUGCACCCGACCAACCAGCAGCCAACUGCUGGGUUUAGAUUGAAGAGAGGUGACCUCCUUAGGUCAGUGCCAUUAUUUGUUCCUUACCAGGUAUUCUAAUGGAAUUGUCUGCUCUCUCCUCACAGCACCCCCCCCCCCUUUUUUUUUCCUUUCCCUAAGAGCUUAGCCCAGAACCCGGCCUAAAGCAGCCUGUCUCUGGCUCUCUUUCCCUGGGCCCCACCCUGGCCCCUCUUGGUUUUUCAGAGCCAAACACGCCUCCCAAGCAGAAGACACACCCAGCCCCAAAUCCAGCCAUUCCAAAAGGGUGGAGAAAACGGUGGAGGAGAAGGGACUGAAGGGUCCUCUUUCUGUCCUGAAUAUCCCCAACAGCAUUUUCCUCUUCGAGCCUCCUAGGUUUAUAAUCCCUUGGUUCUUCUCACCAGCUGUCCUUCCUACACUUUUUGUCCCCAGUCCUAUGAUAGAUGCUUGGGAAGGUCGGGAUGAAGAGUGGAGUGUCACCCUUCUUCCCUAGAGUGAGGCAUUUUCCAUCUCCCUAGUCUUCAUUUUUGAGUGAAAUAUGUAAAUAUGUUUGUAUGCUUAUUUGAACGUGUUUUCUUUCUUGCUGAAUAAUAGCUGGGACUCACAAGGAAGGGAAGGGAGAGGAGAGAGAUGAGAAAUGAACAUCACCCCCCUAGGUUCCACCACAUGAGCAUCCCCAGAGUUGUGGAAGACCCUUCUGUAAAAGUCAACAGCCUCUCUUUCAUGACAUCACCACCUAAGCCCUUCCAACUUUAGCUUCAGAACAGGAAGAACGCUCAAAAUAGAACUAUCUUAGGAAUCCAGCUCCUUUAGAAGAUCAGCUUUUAAAUCAGCUGCAGGAGGAACACUGAACUUUGACAGAGGGAGGGAAAACUGAAGUGUUUGUAAUUGGUUCCUUUGGGGAAAAGUAGAGGGGUUACUUCCCAUGCAUAUUCAGAAAAGCGUGUCUCAGAAUAACUUGGGUACCUAGACUGCUGAAUGAUUAAUAGGAUGGUUUGGGAUUCGUUUAUUGAAUUAUUCAUAUGUUUCGGUAUGUCAACAAUAACAAGCAUUUUUCAGAAUGAAUUGAAAAGAGGGGCUCCUGGAAUGUGCUCUAAGAAGUAUAAAGGAGGUUGUGGAGGGAGGCUGGGAGGGAGCACUUGCCGAAGGUGAGAGUCGGGAUGCAGUGACAGCUGCUCUGAGUAUGAAAUUCAGAGGCUCAUUAUAAACAAUGACUGUAACUUUUGUGGGGUGACUAAGAUCCUGGACAAAGAAGUAACUAUGUCAGGAUUUUCCACCUUUACUUUGGAACGGAACUGCAUAUCUUUGAAUUUCAGUGUCUUGAACCAAGAUGUACCUUUCUGUCUGAGUGAAAAGCGAUAUGCAGUCUCUGGGAAGAGCUGCUUAAUGUCAUCCUCGCUAAAGUAUUGACAACUUAAGGAUUAGUAGUGGGCCAGAAAAUCCUUGGCAGCAUUUGAGCACCUGGUGGGUGUUGUAGAAGGACUUGCUGGUUGAAGAGGUAACAUCUUUCUGGUUCAGGUUUAAAAGAAUCCAGGUGUGACAGGAUUGUCCGUAACUAUUUUAAGCACCUGAAAUCUGGCUAUGAUAAUGAACUGAAUUUCAAACUUUAGUAAAUUCUUAAGAUUGAUACUUGAUUCAGUUACUGGACGACUUAAAUAUGUUUGGAAGCAAUUUGGACAUAACGCAUCUACUUUUUGAACUGUGAAACGUGUGAAAUCUCAGUGUAGGUUCAGUAUUUCUGAUGAAAGUCUAGAGUUUGAAUUGAGAUGUGUUUUAAGUGUAAAUUACACUCUCAUUUUCAAAAACUUAGUACAAAGAAAGUAAAAUACCUCGAGUUAUUUUUAUAUUGAUUACAUGUUCAAAUGAUACUAUUCUACGUAUAUGGAGCUAAAUGAAUUGUUAAGAUUAAUCUUAAAAAUUUUUUUAAAAAUAUGGCUAGUAAAAUAUUUAAAAUUACAUGCAUGGUUUAUAUUUUACUUCUUUUAGACAGCACUGGCUUAUAACAUCACUCCUUUUGGUAGAUGGAUUAAUUUCAGAAAAGAUGACUGUAUGAAAUCUUUUCUUUGCUGUUUUCCAUGUGGAAAUUUGGGGACCACAGAAGUUGUUAUUUUAGAACAUGAGACCGAAUAAUGAAUGCUUUCCAUCUUUCUUCAUAGGAGGCAUGCCCUACUCAGGAAGGUCAGUAAAACUGCCUGGAACUAGAAAGAGUAGGAGGGCUGUCAUGGGAAAACUUAGAUACCCACACAUCUGGCUGUAGCUGCUUUUGUGAAAGGCUCCUGGGCAUACCAAACUUUAUCAGAGAACAGUAUGUGACAUAGUAACUAUUGUGACACCUGGUGGCAUUUUAGUGAUAGGGCUCAUGUUUGUUUUCUCUUACUCCUUCAUUUACUUUCUCUCCUCCACCGCGCCCACACCCCCAUCCCCGCAUUAUAGCUCCCCUGGUGAUGAUUGGGCCCACAAGGCUACUGACCCCUUGCCUCCCCCACAAAAAAAGUUGAAUGCUGACCUGAAUGGAGGUGGUGCUGUCAUUGGGGUUUGGUUUUGUCUAAUGAGAUUCACUAAUGGCACUGGAAGGGACUUAAGGGUCAUUUAAAUACAAUACCCUUAUCUUCUAGAUGACAGCCUACCACGUACCUUGCUUAAGACCAUACAGAGGCUGGAAUUAAAUGUACACUUUGGUUGAUAGCAUAUCAUAGGAAAUGGCAAGGUUCAUCAGUUAAUCAAAUACUUCCUAAGCAUGCGUGUUGUGGAAGGGACUGUGAUUAGUGUUGUGAAGAGCUGUGAAGAAAAAAGAGACUUUUUUUGUCAGGGACAAUUCUGCUGAUUUGAAGAAGUAAUUAUUAGCAGUGACAAAUUAAAUUACAGUACAGGUAUGCCUUGUUUAAUGGUGCUUCACAGGUACUGUGGUUUUUGUGUGUGUGUGUGGCAUCCUUGUGUCGGGCAAGUCCAUUGGCACCUUUCUCCAACAGCAUUUGCUCACUUUGUGUCUUUGUGUCACUUUUUGGUAAUUCUCACAAUAUUUCAAGCUUUUUCAUUAUUAUACUUAUUUUGGUGAUAUAUAAUCAGUGAAUAUGACUUCUUAAAAGCUCAGAUGAUGAUAAGCAUUUUUUGGCUAAGGUAUUUUCUAAUUAAAGUAUGCACAUUGUUUCCUUUUUUUUUUUUUUUUUUUUUUUUGAGAGGGAGAGAGAGACUCUUAGGCUCCACGUCCAACAGAGAGCCUGAUGUGGAGCGCUGUCUCAUAACCCUGAGAUCAUGACCUGAGCCAAAAGCAAGAGAGUCGGAAACUUAACUGAACCACCCAGGUGCCCUUGUGCGUUGUUUCUUUAGACUUAAUACCAUUGCAGUUAAUAGGCUAUGGUAUAACGUGAACAUAACUUACAUGUGCACUGGGAAACCAAAAAAUUCAUUUGACUGGUUUUAUUGUGAUUCUAUAUUGCAGUGGUCUAGUGCUGUACUCACAGUAUCACUGAGGUAUGCCUGUAUAAGAAAUAGCACCCAAUAAUGAGUGAGCUACCACUGUAGCAUGUGGUACAAGUAGAAGCGUGUUUAUUUCACAGAUGUAAGAAUAAAAGCUCUGAGGAUGGUGGAUUCUGCAGAAAAGAGGAGUUUAAUUGUUUCUGGAGCAGCUCACGGCUCUAGAACUUGAGGAUGGUGAGAAUCUUUGGUGUUGCCCCCGUAGCUGUCCAUGCAGGGCAUCUGAGAAUCUAAGACCCAGCCUCUUUAAGUGGCAGUGCUGCAGUAAUGAGGAAGGCAGAGGUUAGAGAUAGGGUAGGAGAUGACUUAGGGGCCAAUGCUGGGAGUGGGCAAAACAUUACACUCCUUUCUGAUUACUGUGUUCAUGCUUCCUUUCGAGAAUUGGGGUGGACUGUGCUCUGUGCGGGACAGCGAUCCUUGACUUCUUUUGACCUUUUGAGCCAGUUUCUUUCUUCUUAAAAAAAAAAACCAAAUCAAAACAAAAACUUGUAACCCCCUCACUCCAGGUCUCCUAAUAAUCUCUAGCACAAGUUAGUUUUUAAAAACUCUUGAUGUAGCAAAGCUUUGCAGUACGAUGCAGAACAGUAAUUAAUAUUUGAGCAUCUUUUGUCGACAGUACAUAUUUAUAUACUUGUAUAUAAAUAAUACAUAUAUACUACAUAUUUAUAUAGCCUCCCAGUUUGGUGAGAUAGGCACAUUUUAGAAUACCAAUGAGUUGGAUUACAGUUUUCAGGUUAGGGGGAAAAAAAUCACACUUUAGUAAAAGGUCGGUGGAUUGAAAUUAGACCUCUCGUUAAGCUAUUUUAGUUUAAAAGUACUUUUUGAAUACUUUGUGUUGCUCAUUUUCAAUGCCUCCAGUGACUGACUCGGGUAUUUAAAGGUUCAAAAUCUUUGUAUUCUCAUGUUUAGUCCAGAGAUAAGAGGGGCGUGACAUGUUCUUUGUGCAUUUGUACUCCACAAGAUUUAAAAGCAAGUUUUUUAGUGUACCAGUUUGCCACAGGCACUUGAUUUAUUGAUAGUACUUGGUUCCUGCAUCAUGAAGAAAUUGUUCUCAGUUUGUAUCAUUUUUUAUCAUAGAAGAACUUUAAAAUCAAUUUGAUCUGUGGAGGGAUGUGUUUUAUGUCACUGUUCCCCCCCCCCCUUAACUGUGCAGUGUGCUCUGAUAGUGUAGCAUGAGUACCUGCAGUUCCUUGUUUUAAUAUUACAACAACUCAGUUUUUAUAAGAAAAAUCUUUUGAGAAAGAAAUGUUUCUUAUUUACAGAAUAAUAACAGUUUCCUUUUUGUCACUUCUUUUUAAAAUCCCAGUUUAGAUGUUAAAAAAAAUGAUGAGAGAGAGAAAUAAGGAAAGGUUCUUUAUUACUGUACCAGUAAUGUUUAGUUAUGUGGGUUUUGGUCAUGGCUAAAUAGGGUGAAUUUCAGCUUUGCAGUACAUGACAGACAUGAAAUUCAUCUUUAUAUACUUUGUGUUUAUUUAUUUAAAAAAAAAGAUUUAUUUAUUUAUUUGACAGACAGAGAUCACAAGCAGGCAGAGAGGCAGGCAGAGAGAGAGGAGGAAGCAGGCUCCCCACUGAGCAGAAAGCCUGAUGCAGGGCUUGAUCCCAGGACCCUGGGACCAUGACCUGAGCCGAAGGCAGAAGCUUUAACCCACUGAGCCACCCAGGUGCCCCUGUAUACUUUGUGUUUAAACAUCAGUUACAUUAGUGCUCAGUCUUAGUGAGGAACAGUUAAUAACUCCUAAGUUAUUAGGGUUUCUUGGUUGUUGCCAUAGUUAUCUACCCAUAGGUGUCUCUGAGUAAAUAUUUAUCUUUUCCAAAGCUGAUGGAACCUGUGGCGGCCAGAAAAUGUUAGGUGGUAAUCUUUCUAUUCUUUCUGACAGGUCAGCUAUCUAAAAUUUUAUUCUCAAGUAAUCACAAUGUCUUUUUUUUUUUUUUUUUCUGUAACAGAUGUUUAUAAUUUGAAAAUGUGCAGCUAUUUCCAGGAACCUUAGGUUGUGGGAUCCAACUUUUUUUUUUUUUUUUUUAAAUCUUCGUUGCCCUCUCGUGUUUCAACUCUGUAUUACAUCAGUUGGCUGAGACCUAGCCAUUGUGACCUCCUUAAGAUUUAGAUACUUUUGCACGUUAGAGAAUGUUGUUUUAAUUUAUGUGGAGGUGGAUUAUUUCGCUGGAUAUUACUUUUCUGAAGAUUAGGUCAGUUUCAUAAUGCAGAAAGUCACUGUAUUCCUGUGUUCUAACUUCUGAUAUAAAGAAUUGACUCAUCUAUCUGUCUUACUUGAGGUACAGUGCUAAUAUCUAAUUUGCAUAUAAUGAAUCAUUGAAACUGAGAAAAUGCCUAAUUGAAAACAUAAUUAUUUUUCAAAUAUCUGUCAAGUUCCACUCAUAUUGAAAUAACUUGAGAUCUUAUGACUGACGUGGAAAAAAACCCGAGUGAAUCAUGGUUUUAAUAAGUUGAUGUUCUGAAGCCUGAAUUCCAAUUUCAGAAUCUUUUUACUUCUUAUUAAAAGUAAGAAUCAUCCCUGAAAUGACUUCAGGAUGCAUUUCAAAGGUAUGGAUAAUUUCAAAGCAAUUGACGUGUAUUUUUUUUUUUUAAGUCAUGCCAAAGGUGGGCAGUGGCUCUUGCACCAGUGUAACUGUAGAAUUGAUGUUAACUGUAAUGGUAACCACUGUGCAGGUGUGCUUAAAUACGUAAUUAUCAUCAGGGUCAUCAAUCUGAGUGCAUCCUUAGCACUCAGAGCAAGAACAGUAAGUCUUUUUUUUUUCUUGUUCAUGUCUAUAUCUUCUUAAAGCAUAAAAUAAAAUCCCCACUAGUUUCUGGUUCAUGAUCCUGAAAUACUAAGAAAAUGAAAAAUCUUAAGCCACAGCUAAAUAUUUUCAGAAAUCCUUUUUGUUUGUAUAAAUUAUAUAUCCAGUUAAUGAGUGGAAUGGCCAGGUUGGGGUAGAGAAAAAAAAAAGCACUGGACUUGAUCAUUGAAUGUGGGUUUGAGCCCAGGUUUACCAUGACUUAGGGCAUGAUCUCAGAUAAAUCAUCUAACUAACCUCUCAGGUUUUUAUUUCUCUCUAUAAAUGGGCUAAUGAUACCUAAUUUGUUUUUAGGAUCCUUUGGUAAUAAUUCAGUAAUUCAUGGGCAGCCCCAUAUGGGUUCUUGUGAAAACCAAAUGAGAAUGCACAUGGGAAAUUAGUUAUUGUUAGACACCUGUGAAGUAUUAUGGCUGUAUGGUUAUGUUUGUGAGUACUUUGAGGAUGAAGGGCCAUGUCUUAUUUAUCUUCAUUGGCUGAACAUCCAGAAGAGAACUUGGAACAGAGUAGUUCCUCAGUAAGUAUUUAUUGCGUGGGUGAUCAAGGUCAGGGAGAUAAUGUUUGUGAAUCCAUGCAUGGAAGAGGUAUCACAGAAGCAGCUGGGAAGCUUAUGGCAUAUUUGAUGUAUUAUCAGAGUGAAAGCUUAAUUACACGGUUGGUCGUCAUUAACAUGUAUUCAUCUGUUCAUCUUUCAUCCUAAUAUGAUUCAACUGGGCCUUUUACUGUUUCAGUCUCAACACUUGCUGGGCCAUGACCCUGCUUUUUCUUCACUUCCCCACAUCUCGAGCCAGAAGGGGAUCUUUUAGUUCUUCACUCCAUGAGGAGCCUUCGGAGGGAGUCGUGCAGCCACCAGAAAGGAUGGUGCUGGCCGACAGCAUGACUGACAGGCUGCCCUGGCUCAGUUAUCACAGUGCUGAUGCUGUCCAUUCUAAAGGUACAGUACUGUGAUAACUGAAGGAUGGCAGCCAUCUUGCCUUCCAUCAAAGGAGUCCCAUCAUUCCCAGGAAGGAAGACUGAAGAUGAAGCGGGCAUGAGAAACAGCGGCAGGGACCCAGAAACCUGCUUACCCUGUUCCUGCAGUGUACCUCUCCUGGAACAUAGGGUAUGUUAUUCCCUCUGUCUUUGCCUUGUUUUGUAACAUGGUGGGAAUAAGGAAGAGUUGGGCAGUUGCUUACAUGACAGGGUGAAGAUGGUUGCAUGGAGUGGACAUGUAUUCAGAUCUUCAGAACUUCUACGAUAGUGGUGCUAGAUAAGUGCUGAUUGUGAAUUAGCAUUUCUCAAGAGGUAUUCAGAGAAAUUUGUGCCAUUUUUUUUUUAAGAUUUUAAGAUUUUUAAAAGAUUUUUAAGAUUUUUUUAAAAAGGUUUUUAAGUAAUCUUUACACCCAUCGUGGGGUUUGAACUCAUAACCUUGAGAUUAAGAGUCACAUUCUUCACCCCUGAGCCAGCCCCCCCCCCUUUUUUCUUUCACUGUAAAAAGGUGUUUUUAUUAAAGCACAGGGACAGGACCCUUGGGCAGGAAGAGCUGCACUGGGACUGUGAGGAGCAAUUGAUUUGCUAUUUUUAUAAAUGUGAGGUAACCUUAUCUGAUUAGGUAUUUGUCAACAUUAGAUAUUCGAAAUGAAAUUCACCUUAAAGGGAGGAAAAAAGCCCUACAUGUUGAAUAACAUUGAUGAUAUUAUGAUGAUAAAAUUAUAUUUUUGUGCUUAAGGAAUGGAUAGGGACACAUGUUUCAGGAACAUAAAAAAUAAUUUAACAUCCCUCCUCUCUGCCUGCCUCUCUGCCUACUUGUGAUCUCUGUCUGUCAAAUAAAUAAAUAAAAUCUUUAAAAAAAAAUAAAAAAAUAAAAAAUAAAAAAAUAAUUUAACAUCUAGCCUAAUUCAGAAAAUAUUUACUGAAUGCCCAUAUUGUUGCUGUCACCUUUACAUGAAAAUAAAAUGUAAAUAAUUUUAUUUCUAUCAAGGAUUGAGGACCACUCUGAAGUGGUAUCUAAAACAUUUUGGGAGGUAAACCUAUGAAUACAACCCAGCAUCAGGUUUGCAUAGAAGACUAGGAAAUGUAACAGACCAUGUAUCUUUAGUCUGCAUCCCACACUGGAGAGCGCUAUUUUGUUUGGGGUGGGGCUACUGGAGAAUCCAGGGUUUCCCAUAUCCUUCAAGACCCCUAAGGAAGCUGUGUACAUGGUUCAGCAGCAGAUAGGAAUCAAAGUAUGCAAACUUAGUGUUAGCUCACAGACUGCUGCAAAGCUCCCAUAAUCUUACAUAGCUUAGCCUCAGUGCAUUAAACAGAGACUUCAUACCUCUUCCCAGGUUCAUGUUUAUGUUUGGGAAUCUCACCAUCCUAGGGACGGAUGACUGGUGCAGGAACCCACAGCAGUAACCCAUAUGCUUAGACUAAGAGAUGACAGACCGUGCUGAGGUCAGGAUGUGCCUCCACUGGGCGAGAGGAGCCAGGGAAGGAAAAGACAUAUGUAUGACCCUUUAGUAUACAAAUACCUUACUGGCUAAUCAGUAGAGCCCAGUUAAUGUCUUGGACCUGAGCCAAGUGUAUUAUCAAGUCCUUCACUGAGAGAGAAUGAGGAAAAAGGGGAACCAGAGGUGUGAAUGGAGAGGCAAAGCUUUGUUUUCCCAUUUAGAGAGGGUCUAUUUCACCCUUCAUUGUGGGAACCUCAGACGUUCCUGGUCAUGGCAUUCCUUUGCUGGUUCACAUAAUUCUCUUUAACCCAUCGUCUUCUCCCAAAGAGGGACCAUUCCUAGGGUAACCCCUUGAGCCAUACCUGCUUGGCUCUGUAUUGUUUUCCCACAUGGCAUUGACCACAUUAUGGCCCAGUACCUUCACAUGUACUCAUACUUUCAGAAUUUUCGAAACUGCAGGCUAGGUGAUGGUUUUGAUUAAUUAUAUAUUACACCAUGGGUCCUGAGAUUCCUUGGGAGUUUUCUGCUUUUUUAAACAGAAAGGGAAUUUCUGACAGAAACCCUGGAAGAACUUCUAAGAAAGGAAAGUUCUGGGAUUGGUGAAUUCUCAAGUAACUUGAAACAUUCCUAAUUUUUAGUGUUCUAGCAGGUGGAAAAAAGUGCCUCAGGGAGUGAUGUGUUGUGCAAUCAUUGGCCUUGGUGAGGAUUUCACCACCUUUGAUCUUCCUGUUUUCCAGUUACUAGUUUUAUAAAAAUUCAGGUUUUAUACUUACUGCACUCUGAUGCCAGGAUCCACACCCGAGCCUGCGGGAUGCAGCAGAGCUGAGUGUUGGAUGUAGCUUGGAAUCACCCUGGGCACUUGGACAAAUGGAGCUGUACUGGGUCCUGUUUCCUGUCAACAGGAAAGCCCGAGGCUUGGUCUGUGGCAAGAGCUCUGGAAGGCUUGCCUAGGCCUGGAGGUCUUUGGCAUCUUCAAGGCAGUUCAUCGAUGUAAGGUGUUCCAACAGGUUAAGUGAGAAGAGAUGAGCAAGGAAAAUCUGACAGGGUUUUUCCACUGCUUUGAUUAAAACACAAUGUGUUUGAUUAGUGUAUUCCUUACAUUCUUCAUUUAGGUACGUAAGAAUGGACUUAAACAUUGAAAUACCAUAUGAUCCAGCAUUCCAGUCCACUUCCGGUUAUAUACCCAAACAGAUGUUUGUAUACUCAGGUUCACGAUUCCAUUAUUCAGAGUAGCCCAAAGGUAGAAGCAGCGAUGGACGAAUGGAUGAACAGAGGGUGUAUGGGUACAAUGGAAUAUUACUCAGCCUUAAAAAAGAAGAAAAUUCAGGCACGUGCUGCUACUUGGAUGGAUCUUGAAAUGAGCUAGACACAAAAGGAUAACUACUCUGACUUCUCUGUGAUGAGGUUCCUGGAGUAGUCAAAUUCCUAAUGCCAAAAAGUGGAACGGUUGUUGUCCAGGGCCGGGGGUGGGGGGCUCAUGUUUGAUGGGUGCAGAGGUAUUGGGGACGACAAAAGAAUGGAGAUGGGUGGAACAACAGUGUGAAUGUACUUCAUGCCACAGAACUGCGCCCUUAAGAAUAGUUCAAGGCUACAUUUUAUGUUUAUUUUACCACAAUUUAAAUAAAAAGGCAUUUCAGGGUAAAAGCACUGUUGCAGCCCACAAUGGGAGUGAGCUGAUUGCUCUCUUCCUUAGUCUUCAAUGUGAAGAUAGCAGUUUCAAAUAAGAAUUUAAAAUGUUAACAUGUAAUUUUCAUGUCUUUUUGCAUUUAAACUUCUCUAGUCUGUAGACUGUUAGACAUGUUUCCAAGGUUUCUGACAUAACUUAGCAUAGUUAUAAAGUUUUGUAAAAUAACAAAGAAACUGAAGCCUACAGUGAGGACUAAACAAAAAAUGGGAAAGGGGCCUCAACAGGCAGUGAGGUGAUGGGGCACCUCUUGCUGACUUUACACAGAUUCUGGUGAAAUCAGGGUGGCUCACUGGGUCUCUCCGUGCUCCAGUUGCCUCAUUAGCCCACUUCUUUGGAACUGUGGUAAAGGUGAAAUCGCCUUUUCACCUGUAUUGGUGAAAAUUGGAACUGUGGUAAAGGUGAAAUCGCCUUUUCACCUCAUAUUAUAUAUGCGAUAACAGAGAUACGUGUGCGUGUACUGUGUAUCAUGAAUUAUAUGUACACAUGGCUCUGUACAUAUGUGGCCAUAUUGAUGACCAAAGGAACAUUCAAGUGUAGUACAUUCUCAAAAUGUAAAAAUAACAAUGUCUGAAGAGAAUAGCUCCGGUAUCUCUAAAUAAAUUUCUAAACAUCCUAGUUGGACUUGUAACUUGGACACCACCAGCCUCAUGAGAAAGAGUGUUCUAAGCUUGCUGAUGAUCAUGGAAGAGUUCCAUUAUUACAUAUCUAAAUUUGAAAAUAAAUAAAAGCAUCAAGACAAGAAGCAGGCAGCAGUAGUCUUCUCUCAGGGAUCAUGUUUUAUUAGCCAUGAGUAAAAAGCAUUUGUAGACCAUAUCUGCUUCAUCACAAAGCUCUUACUUGGGGCCAUGUUUUGGAAAUCAGAUAGUAGUUCUGUAGGAACCGCCCCUACCAGAUCCCAUGCAGUAUUCUGCCUUGGUCAUACCCUGUGAAUUUGGAGCCAUGGGGCUGAGCUCUUGACCCUGCCACACCAUGUUCAGAUAUUUGGCUAUACCUCAUACAUAGUUAGGUUUUUUGGCAAUUAUAAAUGUGUCAUUAUUAAAUGGAUUUAUUUUUGAGACAGCAAGCCUCUUUGUGCUUCUGUGCUUCUUGUAGAGGAUUCCGUUCCCCAAGUUGGUUCCUUAAAACUCUGCAUUCAUAUUCACAUAACCUGUCCCUCAUACAGUUUAUUCUCACCAUUACCUUUCAGUUAAUCUUUUACCACACAGAUUCUCAUCAAGCAUGGGCAAGAGUGAGGGAUGCACCCAAACACUUUUUUCUUUUGUAUCCAAACAUGGUGAUUGUGAAGAUUCUUGUUGACAGAGAAUUUCAAGUGUGAGAGUGUGCCUGGAACAUUCUUAGCUGGAGUUUUUUAAAUUCUUUGAAAGGGUUGGGGGUUGUAAUAACAUGCUUCUGAUGUAAUAUAUGUUAAAACAGUUCAAAAAAUAGAAAUGGAGUCGAGUAAGCAGAUUAUAUUUUUAUGCAUUUGGACUACUGCUGUACUUGGUUUUCCAUGAGAUAAUGAGGAGCCAGGUAGUGCUGUUAAGAAAAGGGAAGAUGUAGAGAACAGUUCCAAUUUAGACAGUGGGAAACUUGUUUUCAUUUUCUACUCUUUUUAAGUCAAAUUCCAGGUAUAUUCCCUAUUACUAGACACUCAUUCUCCUUUUUUUUUUUUUUUUUUUUUUGCUUUUUUGUUCCACUUUGAAAAUGAGUACCUUCAGACUGGGACUAUCUUAGGGUCAGUGGGGGUGGCUGCCUGGAGCACUUUGUUGAGACUCGACGCUACAUCUGGUCCACCGUAAGGAGCACUGAACCAGCCAUCCACGUCCACCACUGUCUGCCAUGGGCAUCAGACUGAGAAGCGGUGGUACAUUUGCUCGCCCCUUUGUAGCCAGCACACUGUUGUUACUGGAGAGGUUUAGAUCCUCUGGAAGGUGGAAAUUCUCAAAGUCACAUUGAUAAAGACUAGAUUUCUGGGAAGCUCUGUCAUUGGGAGUAUAGACAUCCUUUUUUUAUGGGGACGAUAUCAAGGAGUUUUAAUUAAAAUGUCUGCCAAUAAAAUGUCUAGAUAUAAAUCUUUCAGGAUCAUUUACUGAUACCUGUUUAAAAAAAAUCCUGACUCACGGUGCAAAUCUUAAAUUUUUCUCAUACCCUAUUCUAAAACCAUAUCAUGUGCCACUCUUUAGUAAAUGCAUCUUGGACAAUCUCUUGUGUGAUUUAUAUAUACAGAAUUUUGUUUAGGCAGUUGGUCCUUUUUGCUUGAGAUGGGUCCACAGUUGUUGAUCACCCAGGUGCUCAUUUCACCUGAAUGCCGAUCUUCAGAGUGGAAGAGUGUGCCUCAGUUUAUAAUGGAGGAACCUGGGGAUGCUCAUGGCGGUCCCUAAGCCAUACAGCUAGCAAGUGGUAAGAGCGCGGGUCUGAGUCCAGAACAGGAAAAGUACAGGAAAUUAAGUUAAUACAAGUUAAUCCAAUUUUGCUCUUGAAUGUUUAGUAGGCGAGACUUUGAAAAGGGAUUGAACCCAGCAUUUGUAGAAAUGCUGUAAAACUUACCACCAUACACGCUGCCUUCCCCAUUCCAUUCUUCUGAUGUUCUCCCAAGCUGUGCAGCUGUAAUUAACCUUUUUAAAAUGAAAAUUUGAUCACGGCACCCAAAAAAAGCCCUCUGAUGGCUUUCCUUACUCUGGGACCAAGACUACUGUCCUUAACGUACCGGGAGGGCCUGGGUAGGGUGCCUUUCACUUUCCUCUCUGAUCAUCGUUUGCACUCAGUUGAUUGGCUCACCCUUUGGGGAAUGAAGUCUCCUGCCUUGGGUGCAUUUUCUUCUGCCUGGGAUACCCUUGCUAUUCACUCCACCUGGUGGUUUCUUAGCCUCUGGUUAAAUAGUAAUUCUCAGAGACCCCUUUCCUGACGCCAGCUGUGUCCAGUCUUGUGGCACUCUGUGCUUUUUUCUUCAGAGCGCUGGUCACCAUUAGACUGUGGGGUUAUGUGUAUUAGAUGUCUCAGACUGGGAGUUCCUUGAGGACAAGUACCAUGUUUCUAUCUGUUGCUAUGUUAACAGGGCUUGCAGUGUGGCUUGCCAUAGAAAUCUAAGGUAGUGUGAGAUGCUGAGGGGUCUCUCCUCUUUUCUAACAAGAGGUGAGAAGAGCUCCCAGCUAAAAACAAGAUGUUGAAAAUCCCCACUUUUGUCAUUUGGGUACUGAAUCCAUUUUGAUUUUAUUUGUGUGUAUGGUGUUGAAAGUUGCCCAGUUUCAUUCUCUUCCUUGUAGCUCUCCAGUUUUCCAACGAAUGUAACUGUGUUACCCACACUAAAACAAAAAAUUCAGGCUUACCAAAAAACUCUCCGCUUUUCUCUGGUCAGAGGACUGCAGCUCUGUGCCCAGCAUUUUCCUGCUGCUUUUUCCAAAGGUCAUUUCAGCAGAACCAGUUCUUGAAUUGCCUUCAUCCCUCACACCCAAGUAAAAGAGCUGAAAGAGGGGGAGAUGUCAACUCGGGGCGGGACCUCCCUCAUUGAAAGAAGGGUGCGUUCCACUUGGAGAUCAUCUUUUGUCUGAAAAUUGGUGAGCGUUAUCUCCGCGUCAUGCCCAGCCUCUGCAGAGCUAGGAGGAGUGGAGAGAAGAAAGUGAGGACAAGUUGGGUGGGACGUAGAUGUGAGGUUUCUUGGAACUGUGACCUCAAGUGAAUCCACAGAAAAUGCCUGGGGACUUCAGCUUUCUGGCUACUGCCCAACAGAAGAGCACUCCAGAACCCCUGCAGGGAACCCUGCCAGUGCAUCUCUCAGAUGUGCCCUCCCAGAAGCAAGCCAGGAGGAUAUGGAUGGUAUCCCAAAGUGCAGGCCUCUGGCCAAGCAGAAAACACCCCCAACAAGGGUGUGUCGGGGGCGGGGGGGGGGCGAUCUUGGGAUUCCCUUUUGAACCUCACGAAGAGGCAACCCAGCUUUCAGGUGGAGCUUUUUUGAAAGCUGUCAUUUAAUCAGAACCAGCUCUCAAAUUCGUUGUGGACAGUAAUGAAGCAAUCGAAGAAUCCGCUCAGGGAGAUAGAUGGUGAGGGGUGCAGGUGGGAAGAGACCACGUCACUCCUCCAUCGCACAUCCCUAGAGCAUCGAGACCUGCUUCAGCUGGAGAGAGGUCCAGAGCCUCAUAUUGAACACGAGGGGAAAGUUACCAAACGAAAUGCUGAGCUACUCAGAUCCGGAGGCCAAUUGGAGAUGUUCUUACUACUCAAGAGGCAAGGGGAGGUUAUACAGAGCACAAAAGAAGUCACUGGAAAUAAUUUCAUGUUUUAUUCUCAACAGAGUUGAACUUCACAAGUUAAAAUGAUUCAUUGAAAGAAUAAAAGGGCUAUGACAUGCCCUUUCACACAGAAGGCUGCAUGUUAGUAUUCCUUUCCUAUAAAGUCCCUCACCUGCUGCCUCUUAACAUGUGAAGGAGUGGAAAUUCCAGUGCAGUCUGAACACUUCCGGGGGCCUCUGGACUCCCACUGCUGCCCCUGCUCCCUCCAGAAGCAAGGAGGCAAUUUAGCCAGACAGCAAAACGCAAUAAGGAAAUUUGCUUACUUACAGUCACCUGUCACAUUUGCCUGAAAGAAGCUUGCAGGAAGGCAGGUAGGAGUUUUCCAGUGAUGCCUCUAGGUUACCAUCCAGGGGUGUGAAUUCAAGACUACUAGAUUCACUAAGAAUAUCCCAGUGUGGGGUGGGAGGGGAGAUGAAAUAUAUAAAGGGAAUUAAGUACACAUACCUUGAUGAACACUAAGAAACGUAUUGAAUCAUUGUAUUGUAAACCUGAAACUAAUAUAAAUUAAUUUGAAUAAAAAAUUUUUUGAGCAGUAUCCCAAUGUAGAAUCAGCUGGCUUCAACAAAAGCAGCAAAAAACUUGCCGAUGCACCCGCCUUUAAUAAUGUCUGUGCCAUCUGGAAAGCAAGUUGUAAAUGACCUAUGGGAAUCUACUUGUUAACCCUAUCAUCGAGGAUAGGAACCUUAAAGAUCAUUUGCUCUAGCAUUUUUCAAGCGGUGGGUUUGAAAUCAAGUAUGUCUUGAGCAGCAAGUAGAAAAUAAUCAGAACACAUGCAUGUGGUGAGGAUAAGAUUGUGUCAUGAAACUUCACGGUUGCAUGAUUGAGUGUAUGUUGGUGGGUCUGUGUACUGGGACAUAAUGCAUUAAAUUCAUAAGUCACUGAUGGUAGACUCUAGAUCAUCUCAUUAUGUAUUUUACAUUUUGGAACACUUAGCACGGUGAAGAGAUUUGUCCAAGGUCAGUAGCAACAGCUCGGAACUCGUCUCACCAGCCUGGGAGAACAGCAAUAGCUCAUACUUAGUGAGUGGUUACUGUGUGCCAACCACUGCACUUAAAUAUUUCAUAGGGAAAGAGGGUAAGUUGACUGUGUUUGUUUCAAGUAAAGUGCACAUGGCUCAACAGUGACAGGUCUGUGCUGCAGUCCACAGCUGGAUAAUAAAAUACAGAAGUUGUGAAUAAACAUUAAAAAUUUUCACAGCAUGACAAUUUUAUGACUGUUGAAUCUAGUAAUAAAACAUUGGCUUGCA